rnacentral:piRNA from 1 species
UCAGUUGUGCCUUUUGGAUAGAUGUG